rnacentral:rRNA from 1 species
UGGGGAAUAUUGCACAAUGGGCGCAAGCCUGAUGCAGCCAUGCCGCGUGUAUGAAGAAGGCCUUCGGGUUGUAAAGUACUUUCAGCGGGGAGGAAGGGAGUAAAGUUAAUACCUUUGCUCAUUAACGUUACCCGCAGAAGAAGCACCGGCUAACUCCGUGCCAGCAGCCGCGGUAAUACGGAGGGUGCAAGCGUUAAUCGGAAUUACUGGGCGUAAAGCGCACGCAGGCGGUUGAUUGAGUCAGAUGUGAAAUCCCCGGGCUUAACCCGGGAAUUGCAUCUGAUACUGGUCAGCUAGAGUCUUGUAGAGGGGGGUAGAAUUCCAUGUGUAGCGGUGAAAUGCGUAGAGAUGUGGAGGAAUACCGGUGGCGAAGGCGGCCCCCUGGACAAAGACUGACGCUCAGGUGCGAAAGCGUGGGGAGCAAACAGG